GCAUAUCAAUAAGCGGAGGAAAAGAAACCAACAGGGAUUGCCCCAGUAACGGCGAGUGAAGCGGCAAGAGCUCAAAUUUGAAAGCUGGCUCCUUCGGGGUCCGCAUUGUAAUUUGCAGAGGAUGUUUCGGGAGCGGCUCCCAUCUAAGUGUCCUGGAACGGACCGUCAUAGAGGGUGAGAAUCCCGUAUGGGAUGGGGUGUCCGCGCCCGUGUGAAACUCCUUCGACGAGUCGAGUUGUUUGGGAAUGCAGCUCUAAAUGGGUGGUAAAUUUCAUCUAAAGCUAAAUAUUGGCCGGAGACCGAUAGCGCACAAGUAGAGUGAUCGAAAGAUGAAAAGCACUUUGAAAAGAGAGUUAAAAAGCACGUGAAAUUGUUGAAAGGGAAGCGUUUGCGAUCAGACUCGCCUUCGGGGUUCAGCCUGCCUUCGGGCAGGUGUACUUCCCCGUCGGCGGGCCAGCGUCGGUUUGGGUGGCCGGUCAAAGGCCCUGGGAAUGUAACGCCUCUCGGGGCGUCUUAUAGCCCAGGGUGUCAUGCGGCCUACCCGGACCGAGGAACGCGCUUCGGCUCGGACGCUGGCAUAAUGGUCGUAAACGACCCGUCUUGAAACACGGACCAAGGAGUCUAACAUCUAUGCGAGUGUUCGGGUGUCAAACCCGUGCGCGAAGUGAAAGCGAACGGAGGUGGGAACCCUUUGGGUGCACCAUCGACCGAUCCUGAUGUCUUCGGAUGGAUUUGAGUAAGAGCAUAGCUGUUGGGACCCGAAAGAUGGUGAACUAUGCCUGAAUAGGGCGAAGCCAGAGGAAACUCUGGUGGAGGCUCGCAGCGGUUCUGACGUGCAAAUCGAUCGUCAAAUUUGGGUAUAGGGGCGAAAGACUAAUCGAACCAUCUAGUAGCUGGUUCCUGCG
rnacentral:rRNA from 1 species